GUGCGUGAUACUGCCUCACUGCGUGCGAUCACGUGCGAUGAGCCGGCACAGAUAGGUUCGUGUUCGUGGUUCGUAGAACGAAAGGAAAGUGUGAAGAAAAUAUAAGGAAAGAAAGUGAAGGGACAAAACGUCUACUGAAGAAAAUAUAAGAAAGAAAAGUGAAGAGAACAAAACGUCUAGUGAAGAAAACAUACAUUUUUUAUAUUGAUAGCCAGAAAUAAAAAGGAAAUCCAGAGAGCUUCAAAAGAAAAUAUACUCUUUGGAUUAAAUACAAGAAUCUUGUUUUCCUUUUCCUUUUGAUACAAUUUUAUCGUUUCUAUCGUUCUUGUGACUUAGACUAAUUUUUCUAUAAAAAAUGCUAAAAUGUCAAAUGUGUAAUUCCACGUUUCCUUCUAUUAUUUUGUAUAACAAGCAUCAGGCUUUUCAUAAAAACAUGCCUUAUGUACAAAUAACUUGUUUAUUUAAAGAUUGUGGACGACAGUUUAACAGAUACUUUAACUUUAAAAAACAUAUUCUUAGAUGGCAUACUACAGAUUGCAAUGAACAAAGAAGUGUAAUUUAUCGCUGUAAAGAAAAAGAUUGUAAUGUCUGUUUCACAGAUAGAAAAGAUUUUAAUAGACAUCUAUAUCACCACAUAAGACAAAGUAAAAUUGGUAUAUAUUGUGGGUACCCAGCUUGUUUUGAUAAAACACUUUUUAAAACAAUCAGUAAUUAUGCAGUACAUAUAUGUAGACAUCACUCAAAUAUUUUGUGUACGCAAUAUAUUUCAGAUAAUACUCAUAAGGAAUUAAAUUGUCGCCUAAUUGAUACUAGUGAUAAUUCUAUUGAUACUAAUGAUAAUAGUGUUGCUGUUUUAGAAGAAGAUUUCAAUUCAAUCAUUUCAUUUUCAAUCAGUUUUCUAAUCAUAUGGUAAAUUAUGUAAGACCUAUUUCACAAUUGUAUUUAAAUUUAAUUACAAAACAUUUUUUGACAGAACAUACUUUGCAAUCUAUAAUAGAUGCGACAUCAUCUAUAAUUGAUCUUUCUCAGCAACACUUUAUCACUACUUUAACUGAUAGUGAUUUACAAAAUGAUAUUAAAAAAAGAAUCAAAGAUAUUUUCCAAAGUAGCCAUGGUUCUUUUGCAAACAUGUUUAGUUCUAUAAAUGGUUAUCUUAGAAAUACUUACUCAAGAAAUAAGUAUUUUCAAAAACAUUUUCAUAUUGUAAUGCCCGUAAAAAUAAAUUUAGGAUUUGAUAACGUUCACAAAGAGUGCUAUUAUCAUUACGUUCCAGUUUUGAAAACUUUAGAAAUGUAUUAACUAAUCCCAAUAUCCGACAGUUCUGCUUCAAUUCUUAUAAUAAUUCUUAUAAUGAUAAUGUGUUAUCUGAUAUACAAAGUGGUAAUGUAAUAAAAAAUAAUAAUUUUUUUCACGGAAAUAAAAAUAUGUUACAAAUUAUAUUGUAUCAAGAUGCAUUUGAAGUAUGUAAUCCGCUAGGUGCUUCAAAAAAAAAGUUUAAACUCGUCGGUCUAUAUAUGAUCCUUGCAAAUUUACCUGCUUAUCUGAAGUCAAAAGUUGAACAUAUACAACUUGUUUUUCUAUGUUAUGAAAAAUAUAUCACGUUCUUUGGAUGGGAAAAAGUAAUCCAACCCUUAAUAAAUGAUUUACGAAAUUUAGAAGAAAAUGGAAUAGUUAUUUCUGUUGC